GGGUGAGGAGGCCGCCGGAGUCCCUAGACUGCGAGCGCGCGCGUCACCUCCCCCGCCGCGUCACGGCUCCCAGGCCCGCCCUCCUCUGGUCCCUCCUCCCGCCUCCGUUUCCCCCUCCUCUCACCCUCCCCCUCCGACAGAGCGGUGACUUAAGCAACGGAGCGCGGUGAAGCCCAUUUUUCUCCUUCCUCGCAGCCGCGCCGGGCAGACCGCGGCGCGCGGCCCCUACACUCUGGCCCGAGAUGAAUGCUGCGGCAGAAGCCGAGUUCAACAUCCUCCUGGCCACCGACUCGUACAAGGUUACUCACUAUAAACAAUACCCACCCAACACAAGCAAAGUUUAUUCCUACUUUGAAUGCCGUGAAAAGAAGACAGAAAACUCCAAAAUAAGGAAGGUGAAAUAUGAGGAAACAGUAUUUUAUGGGUUGCAGUACAUUCUUAAUAAGUACUUAAAAGGUCUUCAUUGCUGCACCCGGGCUUUCUCUAGUUGCGGUAAAGUAGUGACCAAAGAGAAGAUCCAGGAAGCCAAAGAGGUGUACAAAGAGCAUUUCCAAGACGAUGUCUUUAAUGAAAAGGGAUGGAACUACAUUCUUGAGAAAUAUGAUGGGCAUCUUCCAAUAGAAGUAAAAGCUGUUCCUGAGGGCUCUGUCAUUCCCAGAGGAAAUGUUCUCUUCACAGUGGAAAACACAGAUCCAGAGUGUUACUGGCUUACAAAUUGGAUUGAGACUAUUCUUGUUCAGUCCUGGUAUCCAAUCACAGUGGCCACAAAUUCUAGAGAGCAGAAGAAAAUACUGGCCAAAUAUUUGUUAGAAACGUCUGGUAACUUAGAUGGUCUGGAGUACAAGUUACAUGAUUUUGGCUACAGAGGAGUCUCUUCCCAAGAGACUGCUGGCAUAGGAGCAUCUGCUCAUUUGGUUAACUUCAAAGGAACAGAUACAGUAGCAGGAAUUGCUUUAAUUAAAAAAUACUACGGAACGAAAGAUCCUGUUCCAGGCUAUUCUGUUCCAGCGGCAGAACACAGUACCAUAACAGCUUGGGGGAAGGACCAUGAAAAAGAUGCUUUUGAACAUAUAGUAACACAGUUUUCAUCAGUGCCUGUAUCUGUGGUCAGCGAUAGCUAUGACAUUUAUAAUGCGUGUGAGAAAAUCUGGGGUGAAGAUCUAAGACAUUUAAUAGUAUCAAGAAGUACAGAGGCACCACUAAUAAUCAGACCUGAUUCUGGAAAUCCUCUUGACACUGUAUUAAAGGUUUUGGAUAUUUUAGGUAAGAAGUUCCCUGUUACUGAGAACUCAAAGGGCUACAAGUUGCUGCCACCUUAUCUUAGAGUUAUUCAAGGGGAUGGAGUAGAUAUUAAUACCUUACAAGAGAUUGUGGAAGGCAUGAAGCAAAAAAAAUGGAGUAUAGAAAAUGUUUCCUUCGGUUCUGGUGGAGCUUUGCUACAGAAGUUAACAAGAGAUCUCCUGAAUUGUUCCUUUAAAUGUAGUUAUGUUGUAACCAAUGGCCUUGGGAUUAAUGUCUUCAAGGACCCGGUUGCUGAUCCCAACAAAAGGUCCAAAAAGGGCCGAUUAUCUUUGCAUAGGACACCAGCAGGGAAUUUUGUUACACUUGAGGAAGGAAAAGGAGACCUUGAAGAAUAUGGUCAUGAUCUUCUCCAUACUGUCUUCAAGAAUGGGAAGGUGACAAAAAGCUAUUCAUUUGAUGAAGUAAGAAAAAAUGCACAGCUGAAUAUCGAACUGGAAGCAACACCUCAUUAGGCUUUGUUUUAUGCCUGGGUAUUCUUCCAGUUCAAAGAAUUAGAGCAUGAAAGAGGGAGAAACAUCUAGGAUGCCUCUUACUUUCUGCCUUGUGCACUCUAUGGCAGUGCCUUUUACUAAGGACACUGGAGGAAGAUCAGAUUUGGGGGCAAAGAGCACAAUUCCUCAGGUACUGCUUUAUCUCUGAGAAGGACCCAGGAAAAAGGGAGAAGUGGAAGACCAGAGAGUCAAAGGAAUCAGCAUGAGUGGCUGAAAAGACCACCAGAUGCUCUCUUAGACACUAGAGCGACAAGAAGCCCAGGAUGGCUGCAAACUCACCCUGCAAACCCCAAGGAUGAAAUAACGCUCAGUGGUUCCGUGGAAAGGACCCAACUGGCCAUCAGUGCUACCAAGUGGGAGUCUCUGAGCCACAUCCACAAGGGAGGGCCCAUUCAGUUCUGUUGCAGUCCCAUGAGGGAAGGUGCCUGUUCAGAGUCCCGAGCCAGACGAAGGAGCAAUCAAUGUGAUUCUCUGCAAAAUGGCCUGGCUUGGAUCCUGGCUUCAUCUCUGCCUCACCAAUCCCCAGAGUGAGCAAGGAACGAGGAGAAGAUUCACAAACUGCCUAAUUCAAAUCUGAAUCCGUUAGUGACUCUGUUUUGCUCUACUUUGGGGUCACUGGGGUGAGACUCAGAGCACCGCCCAGUGCUAGGGCUGGAGGAAGAGAUGGGGCUCAUCAGGUCUGUGCCGCCCUUGAUUCACAGGAUCCUAGUUCCCCAACCAGGACCACUGCAGUGAAAGCACCAAGUGCUAACCACUGGACCACCAGGGGAUUCCAAAUAAUGGAAGCAUGUAGGAGCUAUGAAGAUGUUAAAAAUGGCCUUGCCCUUUGGAAUAUAGAUGCUACAAGCAGAACAUAGAGAUGAAAGUCAAGAUAAUGCCAAGAUCUGGGGGCAAAGAAAGGAAAGUGGCCCACAGACCUAUGCGUCGCUCUAUGACUCAUGGUCCAGUUUGAAGUACUCACUGCCUCUCGGGGUUUCAUCCUCAUUACCAGCUCAAAUGUCCUCUCUCCACUUUCUCCUUUCCCCUUUUUAUUCUCACUCUCUCUGCUAGAGGCCUUCCUUGUCUGCAGGAAAGCAUGGCAAGGAGAAGAAUCUAUGGUUUAAGGGGAGGAAACACAUUUUGUGCUAGUCUCUCUCCUUUCCAUGAAAGGCUCUUUCAUGAUGAUCCCAACAUUGAGAGUUUCCUAUGUUCAUUACCCUUUCAGGCCCUUGUGACAAUUCCCCAAAUCUCUACAAAUAAAUGAGCUGAUUCACUUCAAAAAUCCUUUGUCCCCACAAAUACUUAUUCAUGGGAAGAGGCUCUGAGUUUAGUCUGUUCCUCCCAGACAAUUUUGUUUAUUGAUUACUUUAUUGUGCUGAUUCGACAUUAGUAAGCAUUUGGGCCUCUGACUUAUACUUUAUGCAACUUUGAAAGUCUAAUGAUUGGUACAGAGAACUCGAGGCUCUUGCAUUGUGGGUUCCCAUCACCAUGCUUACCCGAACCUGGACCAGCUGCCUCCCCUUCUCCCUCACCCCAUGUGGGGUGCCCAUGAGAGUGCAGGGAUCAAGGGGCACAGGGCCAAGAGGCUCUCAUCUGCCCAGGACACCCUCCAGGACCUGGUGGGGGCAGCCUGAGGCUGAGCGAGCCAGGCCAGAAGAAGAGGAACAGGGUAGAGGCCUAGUCCUGGUCCUUGAGAAACUAAAAUCUUGUAGGCAGGAGCAUUCAACAAGAAAACCUACACCUGCUAUCAGUAAGUAGGUGAGCUCCUUUAAAAAAAAAUACGAGUCUGCAAGUGUGAAGGCAAUGAUUAGUGGAAAGUGGGGCAUCAAGAAGGAAACUACACACACACACACACACACACACACACACACACACACACACACACACACACACACCCCAUUCCAAUCCCACAACUCAAAGAUAACUGCUGUAAAUAUUUCUUUAAUGUUGAAUCAUUAUGUUGUAC